rnacentral:rRNA from 1 species
GACGAACGCUGGCGGCGCGCCUAACACAUGCAAGUCGAACGAGCGAGAGAGAGCUUGCUUUCUUGAGCGAGUGGCGAACGGGUGAGUAACGCGUGAGGAACCUGCCUCAAAGAGGGGGACAACAGUUGGAAACGACUGCUAAUACCGCAUAAGCCCACGGUGCCGCAUGGCACAGAGGGAAAAGGAGCAAUCCGCUUUGAGAUGGCCUCGCGUCCGAUUAGCUAGUUGGUGAGGUAACGGCCCACCAAGGCGACGAUCGGUAGCCGGACUGAGAGGUUGAACGGACACAUUGGGAAUGAGACACGGACCAGACUCGUACGGGAGGCAGCAGUGGGGAAUAUUGCACAAUGGGGGAAACGCUGAUGCAGCGACGCCGCGUGGAGGAAGAAGGUCUUCGGAUUGUAAACUCCUGUUGUUGGGGAAGAUAAUGACGGUACCCAACAAGGAAGUGACGGCUAACUACGUG